rnacentral:rRNA from 1 species
UCCGUAGGCGGGUAAUUAAGUCAGAGGUGAAAUCCCACAGCUUAACUGUGGAACUGCCUUAGAUACUGGUUAUCUUGAGUUUUAGUGAAGUAGAUAGAAUGUGUAGUGUAGCGGUGAAAUGCAUAGAUAUUACACAGAAUACCGAUUGCGAAGGCAGUCUACUACGUAUAUACUGACGCUAAUGGACGAAAGCGUGGGGAGCGAACAGGAUUAGAUACCCUGGUAGUC